GGGAGGUUGCAUUUAUUGUGACACGGGGAAUGGAACAGAUAAGAAGAUACUGAAAUUGGACGGUGCUGCCGUGCGGCUGCCGCAGGACACCUUUAAUAUCCCUGUUUCUCAGGCUGUAGAUGAAGGGGUUCAGCAUGGAGGUGAUCACCGUGUACAUCACUGAGGCCACUGCAGCCUUUCUCGGGGAAGAUGACACAUCUGAACUGAGGUACCCUCCAAAGCCUGUUCCGUAAAAUCAGCAAACAACUGACAGGAUAACUUCAGGAAGUGGGUAUUAAUUCUCACGGUAUAAGUGAAGACAUUAAGCACCAGAGUUUAAGUAGCUUGAUCCACUGAAAGAGAUUCAACUGUGUGGAACCUAUGCCGUGGAGAAUUGCUUUCUGCCAUUGUUAUCGUCCAGCAGUUGCCGAAUAGCUCUGACCUGAGCAAAGCAGUGAAACGCGGUGCUGUUGAGUGGGUUGCCACUGCACCUUUUUCAACUACUCUAGUCUUGUGGAGAAAAUACCCCUUCUAAAUUUUUUCUUCAUUGAAUACUCUCCCUCAGCUCCAGAGUACCAUAUAGAGUUUUCUUGUAUUUUAGAGUUACUGUUUUAUCAAAGUUUACCAGUCUUUUGUAUUACAUUUCUCCUGUCUAAA
rnacentral:lncRNA from 1 species